rnacentral:rRNA from 1 species
UACGUAGGGGGCAAGCGUUGUCCGGAAUCAUUGGGCGUAAAGAGCGUGUAGGCGGUCCGAUAAGUCCGCUCUGAAAGCCCGGGGCUCAACCCCGGGAGGCGGGCGGAUACUGUCGGGCUAGAGUCCGGAAGAGGCAAGUGGAAUUCCUGGUGUAGCGGUGAAAUGCGCAGAUAUCAGGAGGAACACCGAUGGCGAAGGCAGCUUGCUGGGACGGUACUGACGCUGAGACGCGAAAGCGUGGGGGAGCAAAACAGG